GGCAGUGUAGCGGAGGAGGAGGCAGGCGAGGAAGAGAGGGAAAGACAAGAUGGCUGCGCACGCAAAUCGCUAGACGCGGACGAGGGCCAACGCCAGGCUGAAGCAGUUCAGUCGAUAGCUAUGCUCUAGGAGAUCAUGGAUCGAGGAAGACAAGGACUUCUGGUAAUUGGACAUAGAAAUUAGUUCCCAGACAUUUCGUUACGACUCCCACGCCAACGAGGCUCUCCACCAACGGUUCCGUCAGCAGUGAGAAGACAUCGACGGGUGCUUAAAGUAAAACGACAUACCCAGUUCUGUGGAUGCCUGCGAGUAAACACCAUCGGACCACUCUCCUAAUGCUUCACAUUAUAUUUUGGGAUCGUCAUUAGCUUAAAACUUCGAGGUGAGAAAAAAAAAUUCCUUUAUUGGCUUGACUUCCUCUGUCGCCUGGACUAGCCUCUCGUAAAUGUUAUGAAGAAAAUGAAUCGAAUAUUAAAUCCGGAAGUCACUUUUUAAGAGUUUUUCGUGAGGUAUCGAUCC